rnacentral:rRNA from 1 species
UGGGGAAUUUUGGACAAUGGGCGCAAGCCUGAUCCAGCAAUGCCGCGUGCAGGAUGAAGGCCUUCGGGUUGUAAACUGCUUUUGUACGGAACGAAAAGCCUCUCUCUAAUACAGGGGGGUGAUGACGGUACCGUAAGAAUAAGCACCGGCUAACUACGUGCCAGCAGCCGCGGUAAUACGUAGGGUGCAAGCGUUAAUCGGAAUUACUGGGCGUAAAGCGUGCGCAGGCGGUUUUGUAAGACAGUGGUGAAAUCCCCGGGCUCAACCUGGGAACUGCCAUUGUGACUGCAAGGCUGGAGUGCGGCAGAGGGGGAUGGAAUUCCGCGUGUAGCAGUGAAAUGCGUAGAUAUGCGGAGGAACACCGAUGGCGAAGGCAAUCCCCUGGGCCUGCACUGACGCUCAUGCACGAAAGCGUGGGGAGCAAACAGGAUUAGAUACCCUGGUAGUCCACGCCCUAAAACGAUGUCAACUGGUUGUUGGGGAUUUAUUUCUUCAGUAACGAAGCUAACGCGUGAAUUGACCGCCUGGGGGAGUACGGCCGCAAGGUUAAAAACUCAAAAUGAAUUGACGGGGUCAUAGCUGUUUCCU